rnacentral:misc_RNA from 1 species
AACGCACAUUGCGCCCUUUGGUAUUCCGAGGGGCAUGCCUGUUCGAGCGUCAUUUCAAUCUCAAGCCUUGCUUGGUAUUGAAGGAAGUUUGUAAAAACUCCUUCAAAACUCCUCAGCGGUGUCCAUCAGACUCGAGCGUAGCAAAAGUUUCGCUUUGAAAUCUGAAGGUCUUCAGCUUUGAAAUCUUUUUGAAUUUUGACCUCGGAUCAGGUAAGAAUACCCGCUGAACUUAA